rnacentral:rRNA from 1 species
GUAGGUGGCAAGCGUUGUCCGGAAUUAUUGGGCGUAAAGCGCGCGCAGGCGGUUCUUUAAGUCUGAUGUGAAAGCCCACGGGCUCAACCGUGGAGGGUCAUUGGAAACUGGAGAACUUGAGUACAGAAGAGGAAAGCGGAAUUCCACGUGUAGCGGUGAAAUGCGUAGAGAUGUGGAGGAACACCAGUGGCGAAGGCGGCUUUCUGGUCUGUAACUGACGCUGAGGCGCGAAAGCGUGGGGAGCAAACAGGAUUAGAUGCCCUGGUAGUCCACGCCGUAAACGAUGAGUGCUAAGUGUUAGGGGGUUUCCGCCCCUUAGUGCUGCAGCUAACGCAUUAAGCACUCCGCCUGGGGAGUACGGCCGCAAGGCUG